GCCAACAAUCUAGCCCCCCCCAUUUAACACAUGAACAACACCUUCUUAAACAUUUUUCAUAAAUCAUUUUUACAAAUUAGUAGAGGAGAUCAAAAAUUAUACAGGAGCUAUAAAAAUAGUACCGCAAGGGAAAGAUGAAAUAUUAAUGAAAUAUUCUGAAGCAAAUAAAAGUAGAGAUUAAACCUCGUACCUUUUGCAUCAUGGUUUAACAAGUCUAAUCAAGCAAAAAGAUUUUUAGUUUGACACCCCGAAACUAAGCGAGCUACUUAAAGGCAGCUUUUAGAGCAAACUCAUCUCUGUAGCAAAAGAGUGAGAAGACCAUUAAGUAGAGGUGAUAAACCUACCGAGCAUAGUGAUAGCUGGUUGCUUAAGAAAAGAAUUUUAGUUCAACCUAAAUUUACUUUCACAACCCUCAAGUGUAAAAUUUAGAGUAAUUCUAAUAAGGUACAGCCUAUUAGAAUCAGGAUACAACCUUAACCAAUGGGUAAGUAUAUUUUCCCCUGUAACAAAGUGGGCCUAAAAGCAGCCACCUUAAAAAUAGCGUCAAAGCUUAAUUACAGUACAAAUAAAUUCCACAUUUAAAAUCUAACCCUUAAUUAAUAUUAAGCAAUUCUAUAUAAUUAUAGAAAUUUUUAUGUUAGAACUAGUAACAAGAAUAAGACAUUCUCUAAAAUGCAAGUGUAAGUCAGCAUAGGACAAUACACUGACAAUUAACAUUAUUAAUAUGUUAGUAGUUACAUCAUCAAGAAAACUCUACUUAUUUUCAUGUUAACCUAACACUAGAGCAUUACAAGAAAGAUUAAAAGAAAAAGAAGGAACUCGGCAAACAUUAACCUCGCCUGUUUACCAAAAACAUCGCCUCUUGAAAAACAUAAGAGGUCCAGCCUGCCCAGUGACUUAUGUUCAACGGCCGCGGUAUCCUAACCGUGCGAAGGUAGCGCAAUCACUUGUUCUUUAAAUAAGGACUAGUAUGAAUGGCAUCACGAGGGUUAUACUGUCUCCUUUUUCUAAUCAGUGAAACUAAUCUUCCCGUGAAGAAGCGGGAAUAAUUUUAUAAGACGAGAAGACCCUAUGGAGCUUUAAACUAAACAACAAAUAUCUACUUAUUCUAAAUUCAAGAAGAACCAAAAUUAUUCAGAUAUUAUGAUUGCUAGUUUUAGGUUGGGGUGACCAUGGAGAACAAUACAACCCCCAUGUCGAAAUGAUUUUAAAAAUCUAAGCUGCGAGUAACAACUCCAAGCAUCAACACCUUGACGUCAAUUGACCCAAUUUUUGAUCAACGAACCAAGUUACCCUAGGGAUAACAGCGCAAUCCACUUCAAGAGCUCAUAUCGACAAGUGGGUUUACGACCUCGAUGUUGGAUCAGGAUAUCCUAGUGGUGCAGCCGCUACUAAAGGUUCGUUUGUUCAACGAUUAAAAUCCU
rnacentral:rRNA from 1 species